rnacentral:rRNA from 1 species
GUCCACGCUGUAAAUGAUGGGCACUAGGUGUCCGGGGUAUUGACCCCCUGGGUGCCGCAGCUAACGCAUUAAGUGCCCCGCCUGGGGAGUACGGUCGCAAGAUUAAAACUCAAAGGAAUUGACGGGGGCCCCGCACAAGCGGUGGAGCAUGUGGUUCAAUUCGACGCAACGCGAAGAACCUUACCUGGGCUAGACAACGGUGGACCGUCCUAGAAAUAGGAUUUUCCCUUCGGGGACUGCCGGUUCAGGUGCUGCAUGGCUGUCGU